UUUGAUAAUGUUCCCAUGUCUAGCGGUCUACCCACACACGUUCCCGUUCCUACUGGUGGGCCUGUUCUACGUGCUGACGUCACCGGAAACGGAAAUGGCGACACUGUUGAUCCGGGUGUCGCGGGCGCCAGUCUGGUGGACAUGCUGGCUACCAUGCUCAGGUUACCUGACUUUGUGCAGAAGCUGGCGUACUUCGUGGGAACCGCUAUUCUCGCUGCCAUGGCUGUCCAGGUGGUGAUGCUAACCCUGGAGAACUUCAAGGAGCUGAAGUACAUCUACCAACUCCGUGACCUUGUCAUGAAGCAACUCAAGUAGGCCCCGGCCAAGGUCAUCGGGCCAGACCACUGAGGAUCGCAGGGGGUGUGUUAUGGUUGAAAACACUUUUCACUCCUUUAAUGACGACUUAGGUAGAGUCAUUGAUUGACAAGUUUGAAUUUGUCGACCGACAGACAAAGAGAAAAAAAUUCACUACAAGUCAAAACAAUUGUCGCUGACGACGAACAGUGAACACUGUCCGAAAUGUCUGACCGUUUUCACAUCUUAUCCAAUUACUUGAGUAACUUUGUAUUCGGUAUCUAAUUAACUGGAUGUCUAAUCUUUUUCGAAAAAAAAAAAAACACAAGCGUGUAGGAAUAUCUGGCAUCCCUCUACGGCCCUCAUGGUAUCAUCCACAACCGGGUUUUUCUCACAUUCCAACCAAACAGCCAGCCACAGGACGAAGGAGCCACACAUACUACAAUUAUUCCGUUACCAUACUAUUGUCAUACUAUAGUGCCGACCACAUGUACUGUUACUGUGCUUUUAAAAAAAACUGAGUACAGGAAAUCACGUAUAUUACAGUAUUUUUGUCUCAUUCUACGAUCAAAAGCUGUUUAAUUGGGUUCGGUAGACCUUCUGCAAACGGAGAAAAACUUUUGUACUUCUAGUUUACGAUUCAUUUGAUCAUCCUUCAUCGACAAAACGCGAAGACUUGUAAUGUAUGACAUCUAGCGAUUCGGUUGUGAACUGCAGCAGUUUGUGGUUAUGUUGGAAGCACAAAAAAUGGUGAUAACGAAACAGAACGCUCUCUUUUAUAGUUAGUAAGCUUAGCCUAAAGUCACAAUGGCUGAAUUGGCUGUAGGGUCUUUAAAUAAGGUGUAGACAUUGUAACGGACUUUACUAUGGGUCUUCUUUUCGUAUUGUACCCUUUUGUAGCUUUAUAGGAGUGCAGAUACGUUCGCUUAAAACAUUCCAGUAAAAUUUGACUUAUGCAAACAGUCGGCAAUAAUAGCAAAGGCAGCCUAUUCCUUAUGCAUAGCCUUUUUGUACGAACGUGUACACACGUCGAACACAUUUCUCAGUUUUAUAAGAUAAUGUAGCAUGUGUAGUAUAUAUAUGUAAUACCAACUUUACACUGUUGUAUUAGAACAGUUCAGAAUGUGUUACAAAAUAGUCCAUUUCCUUACAUACAACUCCAUCAACCAAGUGCAAAUUGUAACGGUUGUGAUCAGUGUACCGUCGGUUAGAAGCGCCUCCUUGCGGAAUAUUUUAGCAAUGGCAGCUAUCGUGUGUUGUUAAGUGAAUCAUUACUAGGUGUCUCUUUUCUGUUCUGUUGAGGAUUCUGGCUUCACGUGUAUGGUAGAGAGGGGUGUAUACAAUAAAUGAAUAGUAAAGAGUAA